UUAACAGGAUUAGAUACCCUGGUAGUCCACCCCGUAAACGUUGGGAACUAGUUGUGGGGACCAUUCCACGGUUUCCGUGACGCAGCUAACGCAUUAAGUUCCCCGCCUGGGGAGUACGGCCGCAAGGCUAAAACUCAAAGGAAUUGACGGGGACCCGCACAAGCGGCGGAGCAUGCGGAUUAAUUCGAUGCAACGCGAAGAACCUUACCAAGGCUUGACAUAUACGAGAACGGGCCAGAAAUGGUCAACUCUUUGGACACUCGUAAACAGGUGGUGCAUGGUUGUCGUCAGCUCGUGUCGUGAGAUGUUGGGUUAAGUCCCGCAACGAGCGCAACCCUCGUUCUAUGUUGCCAGCACGUAAUGGUGGGAACUCAUGGGAUACUGCCGGGGUCAACUCGGAGGAAGGUGGGGAUGACGUCAAAUCAUCAUGCCCCUUAUGUCUUGGGCUUCACGCAUGCUACAAUGGCCGGUACAAAGGGCUGCAAUACCGUGAGGUGGAGCGAAUCCCAAAAAGCCGGUCCCAGUUCGGAUUGAGGUCUGCAACUCGACCUCAUGAAGUCGGAGUCGCUAGUAAUCGCAGAUCAGCAACGCUGCGGUGAAUACGUUCCCGGGUCUUGUACACACCGCCCGUCAAGUCAUGAAAGUCGGUAACACCUGAAGCCGGUGGCCCAACCCUUGUGGAGGGAGCCGUCGAAGGUGGGAUCGGUAAUUAGGACUAAGUCGUAACAAGGUAACCA
rnacentral:rRNA from 1 species